rnacentral:tRNA from 1 species
GGGCUUGUGGCUCAGUGGUAGAGCGCUUGCCUCAAAAGCAAACAAACUCGGGUCCAAACCCA